UGCCCGGAAACUUGUAAUGAUGAAGACCUUAUCAGGACUAGAUCUUGUACAAAUCCUUCUCCAGACAAUAACGGUACAGCUUGUCAAGGAAACAACACGGAAACAAUUUCAUGUUACACUGCAAAUUGCCCAGUUAAUGGCGAAUGGACUGAAUGGUCAGUCUGGAGUGAUUGUCCAGAUACUUGUAGGGAUGAGAGCCUGAUUAGGACUAGAUCUUGCACAAAUCCUUCUCCAGAAAAUAACGGAACAGUUUGUCAAGGAAACAGUUCGGAAACAAUAUCAUGUACUAUAGCAAAUUGCCCAGUUAAUGGCGGAUGGACCGAAUGGUCAGUCUGGAGUGAUUGUCCAGAAACUUGUAAUGAUGAGGACCUUAUCAGGACUAGAUCCUGUACAAAUCCUUCUCCAGACAAUAACGGGACAGUUUGUCAAGGAAACACCACGGAAACAAUUUCAUGUCACACUGCAAUUUGCCA